CCAGUAUUUGUUCUCCUCUUCCCUUGUGAUGAUAGAGCCAUGAUUUUUGACUGGACAUUUAGCUGUGCAGGAUGGAGACAAUUUCUCAACCUGCCAAGCUGCUGUAAUUUCUGAUCAAGGAGAUACCAACGGAAAUCACCCAUAUUAUUUUGAAGCAAGUAGAAGCUCUACAUUUUGUGAGAAGUCUCCGAAAUACUGAGGGAAAUGUCUGUCCCAAACACCUUUGAUAAAGUAAGUAAGCAUCUGAAUUAUUUUUCUGUUUAGGGAAAAGAUAAAUUAUUAUACUUUUGACUUAAAAAAUUCAGCAUUUAUUUUAUUUAUAUACUUUCUGACACUGCAUUUUUAAAUAAUACAACAAACAAAAAAACCCACAUAUACAACAAAACCAAAACAAGGAAAUAAGUAAACCAAAAGUGAUAUGGCAAAUAUUAACAGCUUAUUUUCUAAGAAACUUGCUUAUUUUUCUGGAUAAAAGGAGAAACCUUUGGUGUCAAUGACUGAUACAUAAUAAUGUACAAAAUACACUAGAUAUUUUGUCAAUUAAAAUACUAAGCCAAC
rnacentral:lncRNA from 1 species